CUCCUAGCCGGUCGAUCUGUCAUCUUCCUCGCCGUGGUGUUCCAUCCCGUCCGACUAGACCGCACAGCGUGCGCCGCCGCUCUGCUGCAGCAGGCGCGUGCGCUCCCUCCUCUCUCUACUGUGCGGCGACGCCCCGCUCCCAUACAGGCGUGCGCCCCCUCCUUCUCCGUCAGCGCCAUGAUGUCGAGGCUGUCUCAUCGGAGCAAUUGGCGGAGCUCGUGCCAUCCCGUCAGCGCCUACCGUUCUCGUCCCAGUUCUGCGAUGGUCGCCGAGAUAAGUACCUCCCCUCCCUCCACUGCCCCUCCCCUCCCUCCAUUGCCUCGUCCAUCUCGUCUCAACCCCAAACCCUAACAGUAGCUUUGAUUUGCUGUCUUCUUCCCUCUACUUCCUCCGCCUUCCAAGACCAGAACGUGGAGAUUUGUGAGCUCCGUAUCUUUCUUGUGCUUUCUCCUCUCUCAUACGGUCCUACCCUGUGGUGUUUUUGUUCCCAUUUUGCCUUAACCUAAUCUGCAACUUCUUCGAUUUUUGCCUUGGCCUAAUCUGCAAACUUUUUGAUGUGGCUGACUGUAGGCAGCGUGAUGGCCUCAGGUGACCUGGGAGGGUAAGGGUUAGAUAGCAGCAGCUGGAUUGAAGCCUUUUGAGGUUCAGCUAGCCGUGCAGAAAAAAGGAUGAGCCCUUAUUGAAUCAGGUGAAGAGUUUAUGUCUGCUGUUGCCUGAAUCUUCGUGUGGUUGUUGUCUUGGCAUUGCAAAGGUCAUUUCCUACUCAAUCAAGAAAAACACAUUACUAUUAAAUUGCUACUGAUUUCUGCUGUGCUUUUGCAACAAUUUGCAAAGGUCCCGCCCCUCACCUAGCAAAAAAAAUGCUAAAAAACUGCUGCUUGAUGAACAUGCUGAAAAUGAAGAUGAUGACUGUCCGUGACACCGCCAAGCCUAGUUCCAGUAUUGAUGAUUAGAAUGGAGAUGCUGAUCAGCUCAUUUUGUGUUUUCCCAAUUGCAGCCAUGCCUAGACCUACAUCUGAUGAAUUGCUAUUACAUGCAAUGUAUUCAGCUGUUUUAACCUAAUGCUCGGCAUUAGUUAACUCUCUUUUGGAUACUUUUAUGGCUGCAAACUGUGCUAUUUCUAAGUUCUCACUAAUUUAUUAGUACUCGCUUUUAUUUGGAUUAGUAUUACGAGCUACCUACAAAAAUAUUUGGUAGCUACUAAUGCUGAUCCUCAGUUAUAAUAUAUGGCUUGACAGAACCUAUUCGCUGCACAUGCCAUUCAAUCAGUAGUACUACUGCUGGUGUUAAGAUAUAUAUUUGCCUGAGACGACUGCUAUUA